AUUGAACGCUGGCGGCAGGCCUAACACAUGCAAGUCGAGCGGAUGAAGAGAGCUUGCUCUCUGAUUUAGCGGCGGACGGGUGAGUAAAGCCUAGGAAUCUGCCUGGUAGUGGGGGAUAACGUUCCGAAAGGAACGCUAAUACCGCAUACGUCCUACGGGAGAAAGCAGGGGACCUUCGGGCCUUGCGCUAUCAGAUGAGCCUAGGUCGGAUUAGCUAGUUGGUGAGGUAAUGGCUCACCAAGGCGACGAGCCGUAACUGGUCUGAGAGGAUGAUCAGUCACACUGGAACUGAGACACGGUCCAGACUCCUACGGGAGGCAGCAGUGGGGAAUAUUGGACAAUGGGCGAAAGCCUGAUCCAGCCAUGCCGCGUGUGUGAAGAAGGUCUUCGGAUUGUAAAGCACUUUAAGUAGGGAGGAAGGGCAGUAAGUUAAUACCUUGCUGUUUUGACGUUACCGACAGAAUAAGCACCGGCUAACUUCGUGCCAGCCGCCGCAGUAAGAC
rnacentral:rRNA from 1 species